GACUGAGCUUGCACUGCUGUUGAAAACGGUAUUAAUAGUUCAAACUGUGGACGUUUUUCAAUCAUUUCGAGACUGAGAGAGAAGUAAUCAAGGAUUACUCAGAAGAUGGCUACCUUUGCCAAUUUUGCGUUAGUUGUGUUGGUUCUGGCAGUUUUAAUGCACCAAGCUGAAUCCGACUGCUGCUUUACAAAGAAGAAUACUUACUGUGCGGACUGCACUAAGGGAACCCCUUACUGUUCAUAUGGAAAAUGUAACAUAUUUGGCUGCAAAUGUGAACGUUCAUGUAGAGCGGACUGCGGCAUGACCAUAACUAAAUCAGGCAGCGGGUGGUUCAUGUCGCGAAAGGAGAAGACUACCUGUACUUGCUCAAACGGUAAAAGGGCCGCCAAGGAUGUUGCGUUUGACGACAUGGACGCCAAUAAUGACGGCAAGAUUGACCCCCAGGAGUUCGAUCCUGAUCUGCAAUAGCUCUGAUAUCGAGGAUGAAAAGCUGAGCACCUUUCCAUCCUUAAUUGACAUUUGGAAAACCAUUGGGAAUCAAUCUUUCGCAACAAAUUAACUUUCGAAAUUCAUUUUAUGAAUUAGGAUUUGAAAUUAUGGGAAACAAUAUUGUUGUUUAUAUGAAAUUCAGAUAGCAUCCAACA